UUUUAAGGGAAUAUCUGAUGGUCAGAGUUAUUGACAGAGCUUACAGAUUGGAUAACUAGUGAUACACCUUUCUUCCCCUAAAUGUAUUUUCUAAUUGUUCUCAGAAUGUGGGGGGGUACUGGCAAGGCUACAUUUAUUGUCCAUCUUUAGUUAAUCCAAGAAGAGAGAAGAGAAGAAGGUGGACCUUCCUGAACCAUUGUGACCCUCAUACUGGUGGCAAAAUCCACAAUAAUAAUCCAGCAAUGAGGAAGGAAAUGUCUAAUUCAGGGUAGGAUGUGACUCGAAGGAGGAGUUGGCGGUGAGUGAUGUUCCAUGAUCUUACUGCUCUUGUCCUUCUUGGUAGUAAGGGGACAUGGGACUACGAGGUGUUGUCGAUAUAGCUUGGUUCUGUCGUUCUGCUUGAUGCAUCGGUGCACCUGCUGGUUGAAAGGUUUGGAAGUUAUCCCCUGCUGCUGCUUGGAGGAAACCGGCAAAGUUAAACCUGUGUGCCCUGGUCAACCCCAAUUCUUCGACCUUUUGGAGUGUCUAUCUUUGCCUUGAUCUCUAGAUAAGCCACCAGCAAUACACCUAGGAAAUAAGAGUGCCCUUUACCAAUGAUCUUUUCAGGGAACGCAAGGAUCAAUACCAGCCAGCUGAUCUGUACCAGCAACUCACUCCUAAUCCGACAAUGACAUCAGUAUUUCACCUUGUCUGUUGCACAGUUAAUUCCUAUUAUGUACAGCUGCAUAUACACCUCUAAUCCAACAAAAUGAUUUAACACCGUAUUAGAAGAAAUGAA